GACGAACGCUGGCGGCGUGCUUAACACAUGCAAGUCGAACGGAGCACCCUUGAAAGAGAUUUCGGUCAAUGGAGAGGAAUGCUUAGUGGCGGACGGGUGAGUAACGCGUGAGGAACCUGCCUUUCAGUGGGGGACAACAGUUGGAAACGACUGCUAAUACCGCAUAACAUAUGGAUGUCGCAUGGCAGCCAUAUCAAAGAUUUAUCGCUGAGAGAUGGCCUCGCGUCUGAUUAGCUAGUUGGUGGGGUAACGGCCCACCAAGGCGACGAUCAGUAGCCGGACUGAGAGGUUGGCCGGCCACAUUGGGACUGAGAUACGGCCCAG
rnacentral:rRNA from 1 species